rnacentral:rRNA from 1 species
AUUGAACGCUGGCGGCAGGCCUAACACAUGCAAGUCGAACGAGUGGCGGACGGGUGAGUAAUGUCUGGGAAACUGCCUGAUGGAGGGGGAUAACUACUGGAAACGGUAGCUAAUACCGCAUACCAUCGGAUGUGCCCAGAUGGGAUUAGCUAGUAGGUGGGGUAAAGGCUAACCUAGGCGACGAUCCCUAGCUGGUCUGAGAGGAUGACCAGCCAUACUGGAACUGAGAAACGGUCCAGACGCCUACGGGAGGCAGCAGUGGGGAAUAUUGCACAAGGGGCGAAAGCCUGAUGCAGCCAGGCCGCGUGUAUGAAGAAGGCCUUCGGGUUGUAAAGUACGUUCAGCGGGGAGGCGUUACCCGCAGAAGAAGCACCGGCUAACUCCGUGCCAGCAGCCGCGGUAAUUC